GUUUUGGGUCGUCUCCAUCUCUUGCCGCCUGUCGCCUCUGUCUUUCAGCAUCAAGCACUUCAGCCAGCACAGUCAGCUGCUGGUAGUGAACUCCACGGGGGCGGACACUGGGGAAUUCAGCUGCUGGGCUCGGCAGCGCGUGGGUAGAAGGCAGGGACCGCCAGGGAAAGACAUUCGUCUCCUUCACAGAUCCAGAGGAGCUCUUUGUCCCUAGGGAAGAUUUCUACAGGUGGUGCAGCUGUCCACUCAUCAGCCAGCACUGCUUCCCUGCCAGGUGACCAACCCCUGGCCUGGGUGACUGCACCUGGAGUUCCCCCCGCAGAGGUGCCGGUGGUGGGACAGACAUCUCCUUCGAUGUGAAGAGAGGCUUCACCAUCCUCCGACCCCGAGCUCCGACCUCUGGCUGGCCCCUCUUCUGCUCAGCCAGCCUGGUCUACCAAGUACAUGCUGAUCUAAACCAACUGUGCCUGGGUCUGGGGCUCUUUGAGGGCAGGGGAGGGAGGAUAUGCAAAGGGACACUGCCCUUAGGACCUCAGAUCUGGGGUGCAUGAGUUAUGGAGCUCUAAACAACCCGACAGGGUUUAACCCUCCUUGCUGUCCAGAGCCCCUCAGUGCUCCAUAGCAGGCAGCCAGUCAGCCAGCAAGCUUCCUGCAUCAGUUCGGCCGCUCCACGCCUCUGUCCUCAGUCGGUCCAACUAGUCCAUUCCUUCAUCCUGCCCCAGACCCAUCUUCCUCCCCGAACCCACCAUCCAGGCUUCAGCAACAUCCGUCCAACUAGGGGAGAACUUCGAUGUCAACUGCUAGGUCCUGGGUGAGCUGGAGAUUGCUGUGGAGUUCAGCUUGGAGGACCCCGGGCAGAAGGGCGACUUCCGGUGAGCUGGGCCAGGGCUUGUGCUGAAGCUGGGGCCUUUUAACUCUGGUGAGCUCCUUCUGUCUGCUGCUAAGGACGGACAGACACUUGCUUCAAGGGUCUUAUGAGGAUGAAGGGAGCGAAGCUGUGUGGAAGCACUUUCAUGAUCAGACCCUGAGCUUCCUGAGAAGAAUCUGAUCCACAGACUGGCUGGGCGGCCUGCUGAGGGCCAAGGGUUCCGCUCUGCCUGCUGAGGGUCCUCAGACCCCCGGACGUGGCCUCUGGGACUAAGGGACUGGGAGCACUGGCCUGCGGGACCUCGGCCAGCCGCCCACCUUCCCCUCUGAGUCAGGACGCGUCCAGCCUCAGCCCCUAGCCUGACCUCCUUCAGGCAGGCCUGCUCUCGGACACUGCCGCCUCUCGAGUCACUGACAGGGUCCCCCAGACACGGAUUCAUUCCCGACUGGUGUUGCAUUUCCGGAGCAAAGAGAUAACCUGCAAUAAAGCUACAGAGUUGACACGCUGCCAUCUUUCAAUUUUGCGACGGGGAAAUGUGAAAAAGAAAACAGCUCCUACCUCACGUAUCACCACCUGUGUACAGAAGAAAGGGCAUAGCUUUUGGGCUCCAAAGCCAAAAGGACACAGUCUAUAUAAAUAAAAUGACGCUAGUCUAUUGUGCAAGAAUGGUUCAACAAAAUUGACAGGGCACAUCUGAGCCGGUGUGGUGUCACACGUGGGAGACCAGGGAAACUCCUGAGCAGCACGAGGACUCAGCCCCAGGCUUCUGCACUCAGAGUCACCUUCCUGCCUCCUUCCUCAGCCCUGCCUGGCCUGUGACACCUCCCAGCCCCACCCGAUCAGCUGGGCUACCUGUCCCAGCAUGGUCCCUGUUACAGCUGGAUGAGUAGCCAGUAAAGGCGCAGGACCCCAUGCCAGGAGCCACCGCCUGGCCCAGACCGGCCACAGGCCGGCCUCGAUCGAAGCCGCUGUGCACCAGGCUGGGCCUCCUCUGCCCACGCUCACAAAGGAAAUGCCCAGAAAGCGAGCCCAAUGCUGCAUUCUCAGCCACGAACCACGGUUUCCAUGAGGAUCAGCCGCUUGUCCAGCUCAUGAAUCCGCUCACUCUUCAUCUCGAUGACAAAAUGCAAGCUCUCCAGCUCCUGCUCCCAGAACUGGCUGGGGCUCCCAUGGUCCUGGACAGGGCCACAGAGGGACCGCAUCAGAUCGGCAGGUGUGUCCCAGCACUUUCCCAGGUGAGGCGGCUCCUCUCACAUAGGCUGGGUUGCUGUGCUACACGCCAACAUCACAUCUCUGCUCCAAGUACAAGCUGUGUUCUUGUCUCCAAACUUCCUUCCCUGGUGAGAAGAUUUCCCUCUGUUAACCCUUGACCAUGACCUCUGGAUCGAGUUCAACCCUUAAACACGGCUCCCGGCUCCCACCUUCUGGCCUCACCCACCUCUCUGGCGUCUCCCUCUUUCCCAUGCAGUCCACACCCUGGGCAUCUGGACUUCCUUCAGCUCCUCAGGCUGGCUGGGAGCUGUGCCAGAAAUACACUAGGCAUUUAGCAAAAGCUCGGGGGAAUGGAGAUAAAUUACGUCUCUGGAAACAGACCAUACCCAUGAACGCCACCAGAUUGUGGGCGCCACGUGCAUCUCACUGAGGCCCAGAUGCAAAGGCCCUGCGGCCAGCCUGUCUACCUUACACCUCACGUCAUGGAAGUGCAUAGGGCCAUUAUCAGCCGGGCCAGCAAAUCACAGUCAGCAAGCCGUUCGGGUCACACCAGAGGGCAGAGCUACGGGAGGUGCAUUAGCUCCGAGGCAGGAAACCUACCUGAACUGGCUCUGCUUCUCCAAAGCAGGGACCUGAGAAGAUCACAUCAGACAUUGGAAAGUCCUGUCGCCUCAACUGAGAAAUGGGGUCAGUGCGCUUGUCCUGACUGUCUCAAGGGGUGACUCAAGGAUCACCUGAGAGGAGGAUUUGUACAGCUUCCAAAGGGAGCGGUGCUGGAACGCGCUGUCAUUCCCAAGUCAGUGGCUGUUUAUCCUCCCCACUGUCCCCGCAGACUGCCUUUGGGAAAGUUCCAACCUCGUCUCAUUUGAAAGAAGACAGCAAAGAAAGGGCCAGUCAGUGGCCAGGAAGAGAAGUAGAGUAGAGAGGACAAAAAAGUUAAAUACAGCUAAAGCAGCCAGUCCCUGUGGUGUAGGCCUAUAAUCCCAGCACUCUGGGAGGCUGAGGCAGGAGGAUCACAAGUUCUAGCCCAGCCUGGGCAACUGAGUGACUUAGUAAGACCCUGUCUGAAAAUAAAAAAUAAAAAUAAAAAGGGGAUUGGAGAUUCUUAGUAACACACCCACACACAGCCAAAGGGCCAGGUGGGUAGUAAGAACACAGAAAAGGAUGUACAGUGAUAUAAAUGUGAUAGAGCCAUUGAAAACUACAGCCUUCACUUAAAAAAAAAUGGACUUAGUUCGUUAAUUUGCCUGUCAAGACAGGCUAUGGUUCCGGAGAAGACACUUUGUCCAGGUUCCUGAUUGCAGUAGCCACACAAUCCAGACAGAAUGAAAAGGAGUGAUUUGGAACAACUGUUUGAAAAGUAAAUGGUUGCAGCAAACUGGGCAAGAAGACAAAGUCUUAACAAAUAAACAGGAGCGACUCAGAAGAACCAAAAGGAAAGUUCAGAAGUAAAAGAGUCAAUAAAUGAAAUAAAAAAUUCCCUGAGUAGAAUCAACAGCUGGAUGGAGAUGAUGUAAGAAAGACAUUGAACUUACAGAUAGAUCAAUAGAAAUUAUCCAUUCUGAACAACAUAGAGGGGAAAAAAUGAGAAAAAAGUGAACAAUGAACAGACCUUUAGGGCCCUAUAAGAUAGUCCUAAAAUGUUUAACAUCUGUGUCGUCAAAGAAGGGGAGAAAGAGUGAAUCUCAGAAAGAUUAUUAAAUGAAGCCAAUUUGGCAAAACAUAAACCUACAGAUUAAAGAAGCUCAUGGGACCUCAAAGUAAACCCAGUGAAAUCCACAUCCAGACACAUCACUUCUGAAAACUAAUGACAAAGAAAGAAAAAAAUCUGCAAUGGGACUGUGAACUAAUGGUACAUUAUUUAUGGGGAACAUCAGAAACUUUGGAAACUAGAGGAAUAAAAAUUUUAAAUUGCUUAAAAAAAAACCGAAACAAAACUAUAAACCCAGAAUCCUAUCUCCUCUGAAAAUAUCCUCCAGGAAAGAAGGUAAAAUAAAGACAUUCUCAGAUUAAGGAAGACCAAGAAUUCAUCAUCAGUAGACCUAACCUAAAAGAAUGGCAAAGAAAAAUUUUCAAGUAAUACCAGAGGGAAACGGGGAACUUCAAGAACAUAAGAAGAGCAACACAACUGGAAAAAAAUACCUGGGUGAAUGCAAUAGAUUCUUACUCUUCUUUUAACCCUUUACAAAUAUGACUAAUGAUUAAAAGUAAAAAUGAUGACAUUGUCUGAUGGAGUAUUCAAAUAUAUAUAGAUGUAAUACAUAAGAAAAAUAAAAGUAGGCCCAUCUUACCCAUGAUGUCAUUUCCCAUGGUUUCCAUUACUUACAGUCAACCACAGUUCAAAAAUGGUACACAGAAAAAAACAACUAAUACUUUUAAAGUAACUUUUAUUACAGUAUAUAAUUGUUCUAUUUCAUUAUUCUUGUUGCUAAUAUCACUGUGCCUAAUUUAUGGAUUAAACUUUAUCACAGAUAUAUGUAUAGAAAAAACACAGUAUACUUAGGGUUUGGUGCUAUGUGUUUGGCAUCUGUUGGGGUCUUAAAAUGUAUCUUCCAUGGAUAAGAGGGUACUACUGUGAGGCAAACAGGGAGAGGCCAGAGAAACCUACAUAAUGGUAAGGCCUCUACAUUCCUUUUGAGGUGGUAAAACAUCAAUCCUAAGUAGACUAUUAAAUAAUUAUACUAUAAUUCUUAGAGCAAUCACUUAAAAAUACUAUACAAAAAGACACAGUAAGAAAGAUGAGAUAAAUUGAUAUAGAAUACUGUACUAAAAGAUGUAGAAAUACUUUAAAAGAAGGGGGAAACAGAGGAUAAAAAUGGGGAGAACAAACAGAAAACAUAUAUUAAAAUGAAAGACCUAAAGCCAAGCAUUACAUGUUCUAAACACACCAAACAGAAGAUAAGAGUAUGUCAGAAUGGGUAAAAACCAGCACAACCACCACCAGUAUGUUGUCUCAGGAGGCAUUCCAUUACUGUGAAAAAAAUUUCUGAGAUAAUCAACUUAAAAGGAGGAAAGAGUUAUUGUGGCUUAUGGUUUCAGAAGUUUCAGUCCAUGGUCACUUGGUCCUGAUGCUUUAUACUUAGGAUAAGAUAGUAUAUCAUGAUGGGAGAAUGUGGAGGAGGAGGCCUGUUGACCUCAUGGUAUUGAGAUGCAAAGAGAAAGCCAGGACGGGGCUGGCUCCGAGUAUCCCCUUCAAGGCCAUACUACCAGUGACUUCCUUUCCCCCCACUAGGCCACACCUCCUAAUGGCUCCACUACCUCCUAAUAACUCUAUGGGCUGGGGACCAACAGCUCAGUGCAUGGGCUUUGGAGGACAUUCAAGAUGUAAACCCACCAUAUAUAUAUAUGUGUGUGUCAGAGGUAGG